AUUGAACGCUGGCGGCAUGCCUUACACAUGCAAGUCGAACGGUAGAGGGGGCAACCCCUCGAGAGUGGCGAACGGGUGAGUAAAGCAUCGGAACGUGCCCAGUAGUGGGGGAUAGCCCGGCGAAAGCCGGGUUAAUACCGCAGGGGACCUACGGGUGACAGGGGGGUAUCGCAAGACCUCUCGCUAUUGGAGCGGCCGAGGUCGGAUGAGGUAGGUGGUGGGGUAAGGGCCUCCCAAGCCGACGAGCCGUAGCUGGGCUGAGAGGACGACCGGCCACACUGGGACUGAGACACGGCCCAGACUCCUACGGGAGGCAGCAGUGGGGAAUUUUGGACAAUGGGCGAAAGCCUGAUCCAGCCAUGCCGCGUGCGGGAAGAAGGCCUUCGGGUUGUAAACCGCUUUUGUCAGGGAAGAAAUCCUUUGAGCUAAUACCUCGGGGGGAUGACGGUACCUGAAGAAUAAGCACCGGCUAACUACGUGCCAGCCGCCGCCGUAACAC
rnacentral:rRNA from 1 species